GGGAAUGUGGCUUAGUGGUAGAGUGCUUGCUUAGCAUGCAGGAAGCCCUGGGUUCGAUUCCUCAGUACCA
rnacentral:tRNA from 1 species